rnacentral:lncRNA from 1 species
GUGCCUUGCUUUCUCAUUUUAUCCUAUACCCAAUCAUUAUUUAAAACUUUGUAUCAAUUAGAGAUGGUUUUCAACUCUUCCUUUCUUUCUUGGCUUGAGGAUUUGAAAGUCCAAUUUACACAUUGAAUAUGGUAAUGACAAGAGCUUGUUCUGCUUAGAUUAAAGUCCUGUUUGGAUGCAGCGUGGAGGGCCAAUAAGAAAAGAAGGGAAGAGAGAAAGAGGAGAGACUGAGAAGGUGGGUUUGGAGAAAGGAGCAAUACCAACUCUGUUCUCUCCUAAUAAAACGAGGGAUAUUGCUCUCUCCUCACUUUCUUCUCUCCUCUCCAAUUCUCUCAAUCCAAACAGUGUAAAGGUUUGAUGUCAAGUAACCUAUAAUAUAGAACUUUCUCACAAUACUACCACUAUAUGAACUUCACAGCAUAUUACUCUCUCUUCAUUUUCUCUUCUCUCCUCUCCAAUUCUCUCAAUCCAAAUAGUGUAAAGGUUCGAAGUCAAAUAACCUAUAAAAUAGAACUUUCCCACAAUACUACCACUAUAAGAACUUCACACAGCACCAGCAGUAUGAGUAACAUGAUAUUUUGUGUGUGAGGUGCAAAACCCGUUGUUCCCCGUAUUUCUUUACCAUGAAAUUUGAGUUGUUUGUGUCAUUGGUGCCAACACAAGACUAUGUAAUGUUAGUUUAUAUGACAAUUUACUUCACAGGCAAUCUACACAAAUAUCUAGGACAAUUUAUGAAUCUACAUAUUUUUAAGUUUAUUGAAAAAUCAAGCUUAUUGUUCAUAACAUGACAUGCACUAGUAUAAAGCAACUAACAUUGAUCUAUGUAGAAAAACUUAGAUGACAUGGUCUAUUUUAGCAUGUUAGUUGCCAAACCCUUUCAAGGCUAGCAUAUCCUUCUGCAUCAAUGUGUGCCAAAUUGCCAAUUGUUGUCACAU